UGAUUCAGUUUUGAUCCUUUUUUUAGUUGCGAAAUAAAACUAAGUAAAAAAAAGUGGUCACUCAUCAGGGGAUUAAAUAAAUUCUUGUAUGCUAUGCAAGACUGUUUUUCCCCGACUUUCCACUAAAAGAUUUAUCAAUCGAUAAAAUUGGCCUCUUAGAGCGGUUGUAGCGACUCUUUCGUGGUGCUAUUGAACUCUUCUUGGUGUCAAACUGACACCUAAAAAGGGGAGCUUGAAUCUUCGAGGGUUCGCUUGAACUCCAUAAAGAUUCGAAAAUUCACACCAAAUUGUCGUGUCGGAAAAAGGUAAUAUCAUUGUAGCUAACACCGAGGGAGAUUUUUUUACUUAGGAAUUCGAAUCAUAUUUUGUUAAACAUAUUUUAUCCUAAGUAAAAAAAAAAUUAAAACUUUUACCAUUACUCGUCGAAAAGGUCACUUUAUUCAGUCCAGUCUUUUAGCAUUGAAAGACUCUUAGAAUUUGCUUUCCCAUGCUCCCUUUCGGUCUUAGCUUUGAUGAUGUAGCCUUCUGGACCCUGACAACGUACUUGCAAUUAGGUGUGAUACCAUCAUAGUUAAUAGAGGGGACCACUCUAUUAACUAUGGUACCAUCUAGUGAUCAGACCUUCGCAUACCUUGUGCUGUGGGACAUAAUUGUGUACUUUGAUAUAAUGUUAAGAUUAAUUAAAUCAAGCAGUCUUACUAAUCCCUUGCGUAGAAUAUUCCAAAUAUAGGUCAUACAGCCAAAUAUUAUGCUGAUGAUUGGACGCUGAAGGAACCCGUACGUCUAUAUUGUAUACCCUGCAUUUUCUCAAACAAACUCGCAAAAAGUGCUGAUGAGAUAUGAGGCGCUCCAGGAAAGACAAGGUUUGAAUGGCAGCAGAGCGUCCGUGGUGAUAUUGCUGUGUGAGAUGCAACCAAUUUUUACUGGGAUCU